rnacentral:lncRNA from 1 species
GAGGGCGCAGCCACCCCGCAGCCAUCCCAGCAGGUACCCUAAGGGUGGGCACAGGGGGGGGGUCCCUGGAGAGGGACGGUGCCCUGGGGGGGAUGCUGAGCACAGCCCCCCCCCGUGUGCCCCAGGCUGCUGCAGGCUCUGCCCCAAUGAGUCCCAGGGAGCUGGGGAGGACGCCGGACCCCGAGGACGUCGCCGUGGGCAUCUGCUGGGCCAUAGCCACCGGCCUCCGAGCCCUGCUGGGCGCCAGGGCCGGGCAGCUCCUCCAGCACAGCGCCGAGCGGGCGCUGGGCGCGACCCAGGAGUGGCUGCACCGCCACCUGCCCGCAGACCGGGCUGCGGCGGGGCCGGGGGUGGCCAUGGCCGAGGGUCGGGGGCUCGGUGGUCUCCGCUCCCCCCGUGCCUGCGUGGUGCUGCGGAGGCAGCAGGAGGACGCCUGGCACCACCUCACCCGGCUCCAGCACAUCCUCGACAUGGCGGUGGCCGCCCGGCGAGGCUCUGCGGAGCGAUGCCACCAGGGCCAGGAGCAGCCAUGGGGACAAAGGAGCCCGGAGCAAGAAAAUCCCAGCCCCAACCCUGCCUGCAGCCAGGCUGGGGGGGUGGUGGGGCCCCCCCCGGUGCCUGUAGGGUGCGGGCAAUGCCAGGAGCUCGACGAGGGCCAGGAGCUGGCACUGUGGCUGCGGGAUGAAUUCGGGUGGCUCCUGGCCCAGGCCUCCUGGCUGCCGGCCCCGCUGCGGGAGGGGGCCCAGCAGGCCCAGGACAAUUUGGGCGAGCUGCACCGGGCCUUCGUGCUGGCUGGCUCCCUGAGGGAGCUGGAGGAGGCGGUGACCACCCGGGGCCGCAGGUGGGUGGCCCAGGCCUGGGAGGUGCUGGAGGCGUUGGUGGAAUUCCUCCUCCGGCACCCACGGGAGCCCUGGCAGGGUGAGGGGGCGCCCGCGGCCCCUGCACGGGAAUAAUUCCAGCCUGAAUAUCUCCCCCCCC